UACGGAGGGUGCAAGCGUUGUUCGGAAUCACUGGGCGUAAAGCGCGUGUAGGCGGCCUUUUAAGUCUGAUGUGAAAGCCCGGGGCUUACCCCCGGAAGUGCAUUGGAAACUGGGAGGCUAGAGUACCGGAGAGGAAGGUGGAAUUCCUGGUGUAGCGGUGAAAUGCGUAGAUAUCAGGAGGAACACCGGUGGCGAAGGCGGGCAUCUGGGCCGUUACUGACGCUGAGGCGCGAAAGCUAGGGGAGCAAACCGG
rnacentral:rRNA from 1 species